rnacentral:lncRNA from 1 species
UGAGCAACCACCUAUCUUUAUCUUCUCACACGGUGAAAAUGCUGAAAAGACACGUCUUGCAUUGUUUUAAAAAGAAGAGAAGAUAGGGCGUGCUAAAAAAUCUGAUCCUAGCGAGAUAGGGUGGCGUGAGAAAGCUUUUCUGCAUGAGAAAAGAAAAGAAAAAGAGAGAAAAGAAAAGAAAUAGAGUGGGCACAAGUUUCUUCGAUGAGUAUCCUAGGGUUUCUGCCUAGGGUUCGGGAAGUGAGAAGGUGAGCUACGAGUGUCAUAAGCCCAACAAAUUUUAGGAAGAGCUUCAUCAACCUCUCAAGUACAUCUGUUGAUGAUCCGAAGCAUCCGAGGAGUCAGCAGAUCAAGAUCGAAUGAUUUGGAUCAACAUCGACUGUCGAAAUUGUUCUGCAACGAACUAGCAUUCGUGAGGAGCCGAUCAGAUCGAGAGCUUCAUGUGGAUGAUCCGUAGAGGCCAGACACACUGUGUGGCUGUAUUGCAAUG